GACGAACGCUGGCGGCGUGCUUAACACAUGCAAGUCGAACGGAAAGGCCCUGCUUUUGUGGGGUGCUCGAGUGGCGAACGGGUGAGUAACACGUGAGUAACCUGCCCUUGACUUUGGGAUAACUUCAGGAAACUGGGGCUAAUACCGGAUAGGAGCUCCUGCUGCAUGGUGGGGGUUGGAAAGUUUCGGCGGAUGGGGAUGGACUCGCGGCUUAUCAGCUUGUUGGUGGGGUAGUGGCUUACCAAGGCAUUGACGGGUAGCCGGCCUGAGAGGGUGACCGGCCACAUUGGGACUGAGAUACGGCCCAGACUCCUACGGGAGGCAGCAGUGGGGAAUAUUGCACAAUGGGCGGAAGCCUGAUGCAGCAACGCCGCGUGCGGGAUGACGGCCUUCGGGUUGUAAACCGCUGUCGCCUGUGACGAAGCGUGAGUGACGGUAAUGGGUAAAGAAGCACCGGCUAACUACGUG
rnacentral:rRNA from 1 species